rnacentral:piRNA from 1 species
UACUCUGCUUUCCCCGUGACGUCAACUCGG